UUUAUUUCUCUACCUGGCUUGUUUCCCUUAUGGAUGACUCUGGCAACAGUUUGGAAACAGUGCGGUAGGGAUAUGGGCUCGAAGUUCAAGUAAAACCUCUGUCCCUUAUGGUUGUGUCUCUGUCCAGACAAACCUCUCUGAAUUCAAUAUUCAUAUCUAUAAAAGAGAGAUAGUAUUCAUACCAGUCUCAACAGAACUUGUUCAUGUCCGUGACAACCCAAAGACCAUGGUGAUAAAAUCAGCUAGCCCUACUCUUUGGGCAUAACGAUGGUGGAGUCACCUGAACUUGAAGCCAUCUGAAGCCAGUGAAAAAAAGCAAUAAAAAGAGGCAGUAACAUCUCAGGUAUAUGUGGUUGCUAUAGGGACAGAAGUUGUGAUUUACUGCAGAACAUUGCUGCAAAUAGCAAUAAAAUAGCAAUUCGGCAGAGGUCAGAGGCACAGAUUCACUGAAGCUACAAUCAAACCAGACAGAUGCUUAAUCCAUUCAAUAAGAAGUUUGCAAUUGCCAUUGUUAGAGAAGAUGGAUCUGACUCAUGGAAGAAGACAAGUAUCCUGAGAUUAUAGCUGGAGGUCCAGUGUUUGGUAAAGUGCAUGUCUCUUCUUGCACCCUCUGCUCUCCUGAACAGUGAGAAAAUGACGGAUCUAGGCUUAUAGUUCUCUUGCCAGCCUGCAUAUCUAUGUGAAGAUCAGGACCCAAACCCUUGAGGACCCAAACCUUGUGUGCCUUGUGUCAACCAUGGGAUACUGGGGGAAGGGUGCUGACAGAAAAAUGAGCGACAUCGCUCAGAUAUGGCUCUCCUAUUCCUUUUUCAGUCUUCACAUCUCUACCUCGGAGGAUAUAAAAUUUCUGUGACUGUAUAAAGGUAUUCAAAGGAAAAAAACAUUAAAAUGUACUUUUCCUGGGAUCACUUGUCCCCCCUGUCAGGAUUGAAUCAUGUAGAUGAGUCUAUUUUAUUCCCCCAAGGCCAAUGUUGCCUCAUGGAAGUUCAUGUUUUUAAAGAAUCCAGAAAACUUCUUAGACAUUUUGGAAAUAGGAAAACUUCCAUUGAGUUUAUGGGAUUAAGCAUAGUAAAAUAAAGAGGGCUUGAUGUGGCAGAUUGUGUUUUCUAAAGAAUGCUUCCCGAGACACUAAUAUUCCACAUGCUUUUCCUCAGUGUGGCCUUCCCAAUCCUCCUGCUCCUUCUCUUGAGUCCAGGUGGGCUGGUAACCACAUGAGCCAACAGAGUAUGGCAGAAGUGAUGCUAUGACUAAGUCCUAAGUGGUGGUGCAGCUCUCCCUUGCUGGGUAAAGCACUCACUUUUGAGCACCAAGCUGCUGUUUAAGAAAUGUGACUACAUUGUUUUGGGCAUGUUGUGAGAAAUCCCAGAACAAAUGGAGAACCCACAUGCAGGUGGUAUGGUAGACAACACCAGCUGAGAGCCCCGCUAUCUGCCAGCUUCAAAUGACAAUGUGUUAGUGCAGUCUUUUUAAAAAUUGAUGUACACAUAAUUGGGUAUCCAUGUGCCAAAAAAUAAAAUAAAAUUCAUACCUCACUCAAAUAGCCUAGAAUAUAGAUCCACGGGGAAAAAAAUCAACUACUCAAAAUGGAUCUAAAUAUAAAACUUACAACUUUUAUAAGAAGACAUAAUAGAAAAUCUUUGUGAUCUUGGGGUUAGGCAAUAAUACCUUAGAUAAAACACAGAAACACGAUCAAUCCAAAGAAGAAAGAUGACCUACUGAACUUCAGCAAAAACAAAAAUUAUAGGGUUAUGUUAUUAUAAACAGAAAUUAAACAUUUGUUAAUCAUAAAAAGAAAUUCACGUAAAUGCUGGAAUCAAAGCUGUCGCAGUAGAAACCACAGUCUUAUUUUUCAGUGCUUGGAGGGGCCAACUGCAGGACGAAAAAGGCAAAGCACCUGAUAUUCGUUCAACUAAACUGCAAAGAGGAUUGGGUCAGAAAGAACUAAAAAUUACAGGCGAACUAAAAAUUGUAGGUUAUAAUAGAGAAAGAGUUUGACUACAAAGAGGUAGGAGGGAACAUUUUGGUGUGCUGGAAAUGUUGUAUACCUUGAUCGUGGUGGUGGCUGCACAACUGUGUGCAUCAUCAAAACUCAUAGAACUGAACACUAAAAAAAGUUUUAGUUACAUAAAUUAAACUUCAAUAAACAUGAUUUGAAAAA